GGACGAACGCUGGCGGCGUGCUUAACACAUGCAAGUCGAGCGGUAAGGCCCUUUCGGGGGUACACGAGCGGCGAACGGGUGAGUAACACGUGGGUGACCUGCCCUCAGCUCUGGGAUAAGCCUGGGAAACCGGGUCUAAUACUGGAUAUGACUCCAUGACGCAUGUUGUGGGGUGGAAAGCCUUGUGCGGCUGAGGAUGGGCCCGCGGCCUAUCAGCUUGUUGGUGGGGUGANGGCCUACCAAGGCGACGACGGGUAGCCGGCCUGAGAGGGCGACCGGCCACACUGGGACUGAGACACGGCCCAGACUCCUACGGGAGGCAGCAGUGGGGAAUCUUGCGCAAUGGGCGAAAGCCUGACGCAGCGACGCCGCGUGAGGGAU
rnacentral:rRNA from 1 species